UACGGAGGAUGCAAGCGUUAUCCGGAAUUAUUGGGCGUAAAGCGUCCGCAGGUGGUUAUUCAAGUCUGCUGUUAAAGCGUGGAGCUCAACUCCAUAAAGGCAGUGGAAACUGGAUGACUAGAGUUCGGUAGGGGUUGCGGGAAUUCCCAGUGUAGCGGUGAAAUGCGUAGAUAUUGGGAAGAACACCAGCGGCGAAAGCGCGCGACUGGGCCUGAACUGACACUGAGGGACGAAAGCUAGGGGAGCGAAA
rnacentral:rRNA from 1 species